UUCUUUAAGUACAUAAGUAUC
rnacentral:piRNA from 1 species